rnacentral:rRNA from 1 species
UUACUGACGCUGAAGCUCGAAGGCGCGGGUAUCGAACAGGAUUAGAUACCCUGGUAGUCCGCGCGGUAAACGAUGGAUGCCCGCUGUUGGCUUGUAUUAGUCAGCGGCCAAGCGAAAGCAUUAAGCAUCCCACCUGGGGAGUACGCCGGCAACGGUGAAACUCAAAGGAAUUGACGGGGGCCCGCACAAGCGGAGGAACAUGUGGUUUAAUUCGAUGAUACGCGAGGAACCUUACCCGGGCUUGAACUGCAGCGGAACGAUCCAGAGAUGGUGAGGCCCUUCGGGGCUGCUGCGGAGGUGCUGCAUGGUUGUCGUCAGCUCGUGCCGUGAGGUGUCGGCUUAAGUGCCAUGACGAGCGCAACCCCUGUCCCCAGUUGCCAUCACUUCGGGUGGGCACUCUGUGGAUACUGCCACCGUAAGGUGCGAGGAAGGUGGGGAUGACGUCAAAUCAGCACGGCCCUUACGUCCGGGGCUACACACGUGUUACAAUGGCGCGUACAGAGGGUUGGCGUCCGGCAACGUCCGUCUAAUCCCAAAAACGCGUCUCAGUUCGGAUUGGGGUCUGCAACCCGACCCCAUGAAGCUGGAUUCGCUAGUAAU